UAAAAUAAUACACAACAUCAGAUUGCUCGACAGAUGACAUUAGGCAUCAAAAAAAAUAUCCAAAUAACUACGUGAUAUGGCAUUAUUUUUAAACAUGCUCUAUAUAUUUAAUAAAAAACACAUAACUCUAUCUACAAAGCAAUAUAUAAGUUAUUUCCACGCUACUUUUCCUUGUUAAAUCUCAAUUUUUCAUCUCAGUGUUGUGCAGCGAAAUUGAAAAAUAAAAGAAUAUAUUAUAAUUUUACUCUAAAUUAGGCGCAGGUGUUUUAACUGUAUCUGGAAAAGUCACGUCAAAACAACUAUACUAGCUGGGCAAUUACAAAGUCAACGGUCACAAAAAUGAAAAACAAACUUAAAUAAUUUCAUUUUUUACUUCUGCAACCAACAAUACAUCGAAGCGCAUAGAGAGUUGCAUAUAUUUAACAACAAAAAAAGGACCUAACCUAUAUUAAAUUAAAUAAAUGCCAUAUAAAAACAAAAAAUAAACAAAUUGUGUAUUAUUUUAACCAGGUCCAAAAGAAAUUUUGAAUACGACACCAAACACUGAGUUUAAUAAGAGCGACACACUACGCAAAUUCAUCGAAUUGAAUUUUGUUCAUCAUGAAUAACAAUAAGGAAUGCUAUUAUUAAUACAUAGUACGUAAAGACCGCCUAAAAGGAGAGGCCUAGGUCACCCCUUGUAUAAGAUGUUUGGCCAUUAUUCUGGUUUACAAGAUUGGUUUCCCAUUAUCCUAUUAAAGAUUUGAAUUUGAAGAAUUGUUAGAUGAAUAUAGGGAUCCAAGGCAGUAAAAUUUAUCCUUUGGAUGAAUAUAAGCAACAAUGCAUCUGGACAUAUUAAGUAUUUUUUUAUAUCUAAAAUUUUAUUUCUUUUUGGGUAUAUAUAUUUUUACUAGUUUUUAAUGUUCAUCAGUGUCUUUUAUUUAUUCUAAAUCUCUGUUUUUUUAAACUUAUAGCUAUUGAAAAAAAAAUUGUGUUUGAUUUUUGUGCAUUGUAUUUUUAGAACUAAUGUUAUCUACUUUCUUUUAGUGAUAACGUGAUAACGCAGCUACCUAUGGUUAAGUGUUAGAAGUUUAUAUUUCAAUUUACAUAGUCACAGUUUAAGAAAUAGAAUUAUAUAUUUAUUAUAACAUAUUAUAAUAAACGUAAGAAGAAAUGAGACUUGACUUAUUAACCAUAUAUAACAAAAAGUGUUAACAGCUUCUACAAUAUUAUGUAAAUUGGGUAUUUCAUGCUAUUGUGCAUGUAUACAGUGAAGAAAUAAGAAGAAAAUCUUUCAUUUACAUCUUAACAAAGCGUCCUGUCUUUUCAAAUUUUUCCUUUGGCGCGCUUAAUUGAUUACAGCGCCAUACUUGUUUAGUGAAAAUAUUUGGAACUAUUUUCUAAUCGAUUCUGACGCCACCGUACGGAAAGUUUUAAAAAUCUAAUAAUACAGCGAGGAGAGCUUGCUAUGAGCAAGAAAGGAAAAUACAUCAAGUAAAAUGGAGAGAAAUAAGAUUUUCUUUUGAGAAAAUAUCUUCAGGUCAAAGAAUAAUUUCAUAAGAACACCUCACUGAUUGUACCCUGCUCUUCAAUGAAAAUGUGUGCCAAAAAAAGAGUAAACCUGAAGCAACAAUAUUGGAAUCAACAAAACAGCGAGAUGGUUUCAGCUUUCAAAUCAUUCCUGCAAAUACCUCUUUCAAAAAUUAUAUUCUCGAACAUUGAAAUCCAUUCUAUGAUGUACCUCCCAAACCUGCUUUUUUCUUUGAUAUAAAGAUGAUUUGAAAUUACUAUUUUCUAAAUGCAGUAUUGUUAUGAAGAUAUGAUUGCAGUAUAUAAUAUAAGAAAUAUCUGCAAGUACUGGAAAUAUGGACAUACGGUAUACAUCAGAAAGAAAACGGUAUAGACGAAUCUAUAAUCGAAGGACUUUCAUUCUAGUUGGCUGUUUAUAUGUCUAAAAAUAAAUCUAUAAUUAUUAUAUUAAUGUUAAUUGUAUUUAUAAACUAU